rnacentral:rRNA from 1 species
UACGUAGGGUGCGAGCGUUGUCCGGAAUUAUUGGGCGUAAAGGGCUCGUAGGCGGUCUGUCACGUCGGGAGUGAAAACUCAGGGCUUAACCCUGAGCCUGCUUCCGAUACGGGCAGGCUAGAGUUCGGUAGGGGAGACUGGAAUUCCUGGUGUAGCGGUGAAAUGCGCAGAUAUCAGGAGGAACACCGGUGGCGAAGGCGGCAUCCUGGACCGACACUGACGCUGAGGAGCGAAAGCCAGGGGAGCAAACGGG